AUUGAACGCUGGCGGCAGGCCUAACACAUGCAAGUCGAGCGGAUGAAGGGAGCUUGCUCCUGGAUUCAGCGGCGGACGGGUGAGUAAUGCCUAGGAAUCUGCCUGGUAGUGGGGGAUAACGUCCGGAAACGGGCGCUAAUACCGCAUACGUCCUGAGGGAGAAAGUGGGGGAUCUUCGGACCUCACGCUAUCAGAUGAGCCUAGGUCGGAUUAGCUAGUUGGUGGGGUAAAGGCCUACCAAGGCGACGAUCCGUAACUGGUCUGAGAGGAUGAUCAGUCACACUGGAACUGAGACACGGUCCAGACUCCUACGGGAGGCAGCAGUGGGGAAUAUUGGACAAUGGGCGAAAGCCUGAUCCAGCCAUGCCGCGUGUGUGAAGAAGGUCUUCGGAUUGUAAAGCACUUUAAGUUGGGAGGAAGGGCAGUAAGUUAAGACCUUGCUGUGUUGACGUUACCAACAGAAUGAGCACCGGCUAACUUC
rnacentral:rRNA from 1 species